UAUGCCUUCAAGAUUAAAGUACAAGUCGUCUCGAAUGGAGACUAUGGCGAUGUAGUGGAGGAGGACCAUUUUAGAAAAACUUAUGGGGGUUGCUCGCUACACAUACACUGUUAUUUCAGUCCUGCUGGAUGACUCAAGUAUUAAUUGUUUGUCAAUAAAGAUUUUACUUUGAAAGUUACGAGCGGAAAGUGAAAACUUGUAGUGUAUUAUGAAUGAGGGCUGUCAGCGUAGGUGACAGAUCAUUAAGUUGAGCAGAGAUACUGUGCAUGUGGAGCCCAGGUAGUGACAGCUCAUCGUUGUCAUAACACCGCUGUCUGCUGCUAAGGUUAGCCGAGUGCAGCUUGCUCUCCUCGCCAGAUUAUCAGUAUGGCCUCAUGGAUUAUUCAGAUGACUGUGAUAGUGCUAUCAGUCUUCAUCAGCAGCAGCAGCCAGGGGAAGAGGGACAAGGUGAUCUACUGUUCCGCAUGCAAAGCGAUUGUGGAUGAACUGAACUACUCAAUCAGUCAGGUGGACCCAAAGAAAACCAUCCACGUUGGCAGCUUUAGACUCAACCCUGAUGGAACCAUGAAAGACAAAAAGGUACCACUCGCUCGCUCAGAGACUCACCUGAGUGAGCUCCUGGAAGGGGUGUGCAGCAGCAUGAGCGACUACGCCCUCCACGUGGACCCCGACACUCAGCACAAACAGUACAUGAGGUUUGCUCCCAGGAGCAGUGGGGGCACCGGGGACCUCCCCGACUUCAAAAACUUCCAGUUUGAUGGACACGAAGCAUCCAACACCCUGAAAUUCGCAUGUGAAACAGUCGUGGAGGAGCUAGAGGAUGAUAUCAUCUCUCUGUUCAGCCAGAACGUAGAGCAUGUGCACGAGGAGUUAUGCAACAGAGUCUCAGUAGAGGCCAUUUGUUAGAAUCUGUGAAUCAGCUGAAAGCCGCUGCCAGUGCAGAUGGACCACUGUCUUUAUCAGGGUUUAUUUCAAAAGAAAACAUCAUUAUAGUGAGACAACUCUACAGCAUCUAAACUACCCUAAGGACUACUGUAGAGAAAGCAGUCUCACAAACAAGGAGUUAUAGAGUUAUUUUCUAAAUUCAGUGGGACCAGUUUUGUCACAGAGAUUCCAAAAAAGAGACUGUAAUCCAAAUCGGUUUUUGACAAAUGAUUGACAAAGUUUUUGAAUAAAUAAAAGAAUAAAUCUUGACAAACCA